rnacentral:misc_RNA from 1 species
GAAAUGCGAUAAGUAAUGUGAAUUGCAGAAUUCAGUGAAUCAUCGAAUCUUUGAACGCACCUUGCGCCCUUUGGUAUUCCGAAGGGCAUGCCUGUUUGAGUGUCAUGAAUCAUCAAUCCUCGAGGUUUCUCUUGGAUUGGAGUUGGGCGUUGCCGAUCGGCUCGCCUUAAAGAUGUUAGCAGACACGAUGGUGAUGUCGACGUGAUACGUUUCGUCGGACCAGCCAUACGCCCGCUCAUAACCCCACGGCUUCGGCCCACUUUAACUCUGACCUCAAAUCAGGCAGGACUACCCGCUGAACUUAA